GUGAUUUUUUUUUAAAUCAGAAUUUAAAAAAAUGGUUUAACAUUUAUUUUUUUGAGUAAUUUUGAACACCCUAAAAUAUCUAAAUUAAUCACAGCCAGCCUCACAGCUCUGGCUGUCGGGGCCACAGCCGGCAUCAUAUGUUGUUUAUGGUGGAGAGAUACCAAGGUCAAAGGGAAGAAACGUUCAGAUCAAACUGGGCAGGGUGACAGCGUUAACAACUUGUCACAGAUUAGCUUCAAUUUAUCCCGGAUAAGGGAAGAGUGCCACGGAGUUAAGAUGAACGUUGACCCAGACAUGAUCAAAGCGAUGAAAGUGCAUUCACAUGAAUAUCUCAUCUGCUGCCAAGUUAUCCAAGUCACUAACGCUUUGGCCGAUAUGGCAUAUCGUGUCGGAGGAAGAAAAUUAAUCGAGAAACUUGUUACUAUAUGUAACGAUUCAUAACAAAGGUUUAAAUGCCUGCUGUGUAUUUUGAAAAUAAAUCCAUGUGAACAUUAAA